CAGUCGCCGCGGGAAUACGUAGGUGGCAAGCGUUGUCCGGAAUUAUUAGGCGUAAAGGGCUCGCAGGCGGUUUCUUAAGUCUGAUGUGAAAGCCCCCGGCUCAACCUGGGAGGGUCAUUUGAAACUGGGAAACUUGAGUGCAGAAGAGGAGAGUAGAAUUCCACGUGUAGCGGUGAAAUGCGUAGAGAUGUGGAGGAACACCAGUGGCGAAGGCGACCCUCUGGACUGUAACUGACGCUGAGGAGCGAAAGCGUGGGGAGCGAACAGGAUUAGAGACCCCCGUAGUCCCUGUCUCUUAUAC
rnacentral:rRNA from 1 species